rnacentral:pre_miRNA from 1 species
UAUGUACUCCCUCCAUUCCAAAAUACUUGACUUCCAUUUGUCCAAAAAUGGAUGUACCUAUAUACUAAAACAUGUCUAGAUACAUAUAUAUUUUCACAAAUAGAAGGCAUGUAUUGUGCAAUGGAGGGAGUAGAAU